rnacentral:rRNA from 1 species
GAUGAACGCUGGCGGCGUGCCUAAUACAUGCAAGUCGAGCGAACGGACGAGAAGCUUGCUUCUCUGAUGUUAGCGGCGGACGGGUGAGUAACACGUGGAUAACCUACCUAUAAGACUGGGAUAACUUCGGGAAACCGGAGCUAAUACCGGAUAAUAUUUUGAACCGCAUGGUUCAAAAGUGAAAGACGGUCUUGCUGUCACUUAUAGAUGGAUCCGCGCUGCAUUAGCUAGUUGGUAAGGUAACGGCUUACCAAGGCAACGAUGCAUAGCCGACCUGAGAGGGGUGUCCGCCAAAAUUGAAACUGAGCACGGUCCCAGACUCCUAGGGAGGCCACAGGAAGGAAUCUUUCCGCAAGGGCGGAAGCCCUAACGGAGCACGGCGGGUUGAGUAAUGAGGUCUUCCGAUUCGUAAAACCUUUUAUUAGGGAAGAACAUAUGUGUAAGUAACUGUGCACAUCUUGACGGUACCUAAUCAGAAAGCCACGGCUAACUACGUG